rnacentral:misc_RNA from 1 species
GAUGAAGAACGUAGCGAAAUGCGAUAAGUAGUGUGAAUUGCAGAAUUCAGUGAAUCAUCGAAUCUUUGAACGCACAUUGCGCCCCUUGGUAUUCCAUGGGGCAUGCCUGUUCGAGCGUCAUUUGUACCUUCAAGCUCUGCUUGGUGUUGGGUGUUUGUCUCGCCUCUGCGUGUAGACUCGCCUCAAAACAAUUGGCAGCCGGCAUAUUGAUUUCGGAGCGCAGUACAUCUCGCGCUUUGCACUCAUAACGACGACGUCCAAAAGUACAUUUUUACACUCUUGACCUCGGAUCAGGUAGGGAUACCCGCUGAACUUAAGCAUAUCAAUAAGCGGAGGA